CACGUAGGCGGAUUUGUCAGUCAGGGUGAAAUCCCGGGGCUCAACCUCGGAACUGCCUUUGAUACAGCAAGUCUUGAGUUCGAGAGAGGUGGGUGGAAUUCCUAGUGUAGAGGUGAAAUUCGUAGAUAUUAGGAAGAACACCGGUGGCGAAGGCGGGCCCACCUGGCUCGAUACUGACGCUGAGGUGCGAAAGCGUGGGGAGCAAACA
rnacentral:rRNA from 1 species